UGUGUGGGAGCAGAGGAAGGAGUGGGAGAUUAACAGAGUUUGUGUGCCUGCUGUAAGACCAGGCACUUUCAUCCGUGAUAGCUUAUUUAAUCCUCCCAGUCUGGUGGGGUGUGGGUCCUGCUGCUCCAGUAACACCCAGAGAUGGUACCAAGGAAAGGCAAUGUGAGCACACAAAGAAAAGGCAACCCAAAGAGAGAGGUCUCACCGGACACCAACCACGCCAACACCUUGAUCUUGGACUUCCAGCCUCCAGAACUUUGAGAAAAUAACUGUCUGCUAUAUAAGCCA